GAGGGCAGGCCCCUCGGUGUCGGCGUACAGGCGCAGGCACCAAACCCUCCACUGCUGCUGCGUUUAAGAGACGUGGUGGUGAGCGAGAUGGGAAAAGGUCGGGCAUGAUCCGAUCAGGU
rfam:Xenorhabdus nematophila ATCC 19061 chromosome, complete genome